UACGUAGGGGGCAAGCGUUGUCCGGAUUCAUUGGGCGUAAAGAGCUCGUAGGCGGUUUUGUCGCGUCUGCCGUGAAAGUCCGGGGGCUCAACUCCCGGAUCUGCGGUGGGUACGGGCAGACUAGAGUGAUGUAGGGGGAGACUGGAAUUCCUGGUGUAGCGGUGAAAUGCGUAGAUAUCUGGAGGAACACCGGUGGCGAAGGCGGCAUCCUGGACCGGCAUUGACGCUGAGGCGCGAAAGCCAGGGGAGCAAACGGGG
rnacentral:rRNA from 1 species